rnacentral:rRNA from 1 species
UGUCCCCUCUUCGUGGAGCUUCUUGUCUGGCAUUGGGAACUCUCCCUACAAACUUUCCCGUUCCUUCUCGUUGCCUGCGAUCACGACGCAGGAUACCUGGGGAGGCCCCCCGAGGGUGUGGGCCAGUCCCUUGCGGGCGCGCCGGAUCUGGCGCUCUCCCGCCUUGCCCUGCAGCUGCUUGUAAACCUCGUAGAGCAUUCGAAGCCCGGAUGCGCCCACGGGGUGUCCGAAACACUUGAGGCCGCCGUCCGUGUUGACCGGAAGGGCCCCCUCCGGGUGGAAGGUGCCUUCGAGAACAUCUUUCCAACCCGUGCCGGCCGGGCUGAAGCCUAAAUCCUCGUAGUUGACGAGUUCCGUUAUGGUGAAGCAGUCGUGUACCUCUGCAAGAUCGAUUUCCGCGCGCGGGUCU